UAGCCGCUUGGCUAACUUGAAAACACCUGGCGCACAGGACAGGUUGGUGAACAUGGAGUUCUCUGUGCAGUACCGAAGAAGACAGCGGAGCAUCUCAAAGAAGUAAUGCGGAAGAGAAAUCCAAGCCAAGUGGGAAAAGAAGGCUGAACAGGGAUCAGUUUCAGACGGAGGAAGUGAAAGGGAGAACAUAACUUGUAUUGUCACCCCAUGGACGUCACGUCAUUACAGUGCUCAGCAGGUGACUGCAGCAGCUAGCCUAAAGCUAACCUCGCGGUCCAGCUCCAACCCUGGAAGUUUCUGUCACGUCACCGAUUAACCGCACGCUGAGCUGUUAUUUAAUGA